GAAUCAGACGGAUAAUAUCGUUCUUCUCGGGACAAGGCACCUCACGAGCCCUUCUCAUCCACAUCAGAUCUAGCGCCGCCUCCUUCAUCCCGCUGGCCGGCGAGCUCCUCAGCGCGGUGAGUCCUCUUUCCCCUCUACUCUCCUCUUCCCCUAUGCUCUCCUCUUCCUCCAAUCCUGCUGACCGGCGAGCUGCUCAGCAGGGUGCGGUGAGUCGCCUAUCCUCUGCUCUCAUUUUCCUCCUUUAUCCCGCUAGCCGGCGAGCUCUUAAGAGCCAGGCGCGGUGAGUUCCUUUCCACUCUGCUCUCUUCUUCCCCUCUGCUCUCUUCCGCGUGGUGAGCCCGGCGCGGCGAGCUCUUCCCCCACAGGCUCGUGACCAGCAGACGCAUCAGGAUCAGGCUCCAUGGACAACAGCUCUCCGACCCCUUUCUGAUGCCUGAUGCUUGGUGUAGUCGUGUAGGUGAGAGAGGGAGAGAGCCAUGCUACAGCCGGCCAGCAUCAAGGAAAAGUUCUUGUCAACUUGUACAGCAGUUCUUAUUGUUUAGCCAUGUAGCUGGUGCCUGGUGUAGCCGUGUCGGUGGUGUAGCAUCCUUUAUUUUUUUAUCAAAUCUACGACAUACUCAUCCACAAGCUAUUGCUAUUAUAAAUUAAUCUCCUUAUUAGUGAACUUAGCAUCAGUUCUUGACUUACAAAUCUACGGCAUACUCAUCGUUUAUGGUUCUUGACUUACAAAUGUACGACAGUUCUUGUCAAUUUGUGUUUCUUGCGCUACUGAAUUGUUUUUAGACUUGAGUAAUGUAAAUAAUUCUAUGCAAAUAGUGUAUGUAGAUCAUAAUGUAUUAAUAUGCAGAUCGUAAUUGCUAUUAGUUCCUUUAUAUUUUGUUUGCAUGAACACUUGAUUGUACACCUAUAUAUCAAUUCUACAUGAUUGUUGUCUUUUUGGAUUUGAUGCUUACAUGUAGAUGGAUAAGAAGACCAAGGUUAUAGUUUGUGUUGCUGAUGCACAUAAGUUACUGUCAAUGAUGGCUAUGAUUAUUCAUUCUAGAAAAAGAAAACGAAAUGCAAGGAGGAUAGGGAUUACCUAUGCACCAAUGCAUGAAAGGGAUAGAGUUAUAAUUGAAUAUCUCAACACAAAGAUUUGGAGGGAUGACACAACAUGUAUAAACAUGAUUAGAAUGAAAAGGGCUUGUUUCUUUCACCUAACUAAACAUUUUAGAGAGCGUGGUUUACUUUAGGACACUAUCCAUAUGUGUGUUGACCAACAAGUGGCCAUGUUUCUAAAUACAAUUGGGCAUAACCUUAGAAAUAGGUUGAUUGGCACGAAUUUUGGUAGAUCUGGGGAAACAGUUAGUCGUUGUUUCAGUAAAGUUCUUCGUGCAAUUGGUGAGCUACGGGGGGAACUAAUUAGGCCACCUUCAUUGGAACUCCAACCAAAAUAUCAAGGAACUACAGAUGGGAUCCGUACUUUAAGGAUUGUAUUGGAGCUAUUGAUGGUACACAUGUAAGAGCCACUGUUCCUAGAGAUAUGGAGCAUGCCUUUCGUGGUAGGAAGUCCUAUGCGACUCAAAAUGUAAUGGCGGCUGUAGAUUUAGAUCUACGCUUCACUUAUGUGUUGGCUGGUUGGGAGGGAACAACUCAUGAUGCUAAUGUAUUACGAGAUGCUUUAGAACGUGUGAAUGGCCUUCGCGUUCCACAAGGUAAAUUCUACCUUGUUGGUGCGGGAUAUGGAGCAAAACCGGGAUUCUUGCCUCCUUUCCGUGGUGUGAGAUACCAUUUAAACGAAUGGGGCAAUAAUCCCGUACAAAAUGAGAAAGAGUUGUUUAAUCUAAGGCACUCAUCUCUUCGUGUCACAGUUGAGCAUGCAUUCGGGUCAUUGAAGAGAAUAUUCAAGAUUUUAGAUGAUAUCUCCUUUCUUCCCUUUUCCAACACAGGUCGAUAUUGUUGUUGCUUGUUGUAUCAUUCAUAAUUGGGUCAUACAAGAUGGGAGUGAUGAUUUUAUUAUACAAGAUUCUAAUUGGUCUAGUCAUAGCCAUGCUACAUCUUUAGUUGGCCAAGCAAGUGAGCAUGCUGCUAUGGUUGCUUUGAGGAAAGGAAUUGCAGACCAGAUGUGGAUAGACCAUUAGAACUACAAUGGAAACUAGUAUCUUGUAAUAUUUGUAAGAACUAUUUGUAAGGAUGUUAUGUUAUUGCAAGGAUGUAUUGGCUACUGUCUUUUAUCUGUAAGAACUAUUUGUAAGGAUGCUAUGUUAUUGUAAGGGUAUAUUGGUUGCUAAUUUUAAUGUUGCUAUGUCAUUGUAAGGAAGUAUUGUUUGCUAAUUUUAAUGUUGUUAUGUUAUUGUAAGAAAGUAUUGUUUGCUGAUUUUUAUGAUCUUGAUACUUGUAGGAAAGAAAUGGAAGCUCAAGGCUUCACUAAUGGGCAUGCUACCUGGACAUCAGCAAUGUCCUCUUUCAUGUUGUCCUACCUGUCCAAUGUGGUGUCAAUUGGCGAAAGGACAUCGUCUGGUUUUAAGAAAGUUCACUACAAUAGUUGUGCAAAAGCUAUCAAUGAAAAGUUCCAAAUCACCCUCAAUGGCGAGCAGAUUAAAAAUCAUCUGAAAACUUGGUCCAGAAGGUUUGCCAAGAUAAAUAGGAUAAGAAAAGUGAGUGGUACAGGCUGGGAUGAAGAUAGUUUUACUAUUACUAUGGAUGAAGAGCACUAUAAUGGCUAUGUUAAGUGCAGCUUUAGGCGAAGAUGAUGAAGUUGAUAAUGAAGAGGUGAUGGCACAUGCUUUCACUAAAAGGAUGUCCACUUGUGAUGAUAAUGCCAUAACAUCUUGUACAAGCAAGACCAGGAAGAAGGCAAAAAAACGUGAUAGUGAAGAUGAGGGGUUGAUUGCUGCAUUCAAAAGUGUCGGGGAUACCUUAUCCAGUGCUAUUGAGAAGGUUGCCACAGGGGACACUGAUGUGCCAGAUGAUCUUUUUGACAGUUUGAUAAACCUUCCAGGUGUGUGUGCUCUGUUCUUAACUUCAGAUGUUGUAACCUAUUUUCUAUUUAUCUGUUUGUCCAAUAAAAACUAUUGUAACCUAAAACCUGAAAACUAUUGUAACAUAUUUUUUGACAAUUUGCUAAACUUUGUAAGUUUUGAGCAAACCCACAUAUCUCUGUAUUUCAAUUAUCUGGUGGCGCGCCCUCACUUUGCUAGAGCCUUCAACAAGUUGCCAUUCGACCACAAGUUAAUCUGGGCUCGCAAUAUCGUCAGUGAAAAGUUCCCGGGAGUGUGAGGGAAGUUGGUAGGUAGGCUUGGAGGGUUCUUUUGCUUGAACCACAUCGAACAAUGAAUUAUGAUCUAUGUGUACCUAGGAGUGUGAGGGCAGUUAGUAGAUAUACUUGGACGGUUCUUUUGCUUGAACCACAUCAAACAAUGAAAUGUGGUCUAAGUACGUCAGCGGAUUUUGCUUGAACAUGCAGAUUUUGUGGAAGCCUUAAACUUGAUAUUAUGUGUAAUGUUAGGACACAUUAUUAUGUACUGUGUGGAAUUAAUAAUAUGUGUGUUUUGUGGACUUAA